rnacentral:rRNA from 1 species
AUUGAACGCUGGCGGCAUGCUUUACACAUGCAAGGCGAACGGUAACAGGUUAAGCUGACGAGUGGCGAACGGGUGAGUAAUGCAUCGGAACGUGCCCGGCCGUGGGGGAUAACGCAGCGAAAGCUGCGCUAAUACCGACUACGAUAUGAGGAUGAAAACUGGGGACCGUAAGGGCUCGUGCGAUCGGAGCGGCCGAUGUCAGAUUAGGUAGUUGGUGGGGAAAAGGGUCACCAGGCCAACGAUCUGUAGCUGGUCUGAUAGGACGAACAGCCACACUGGGACUGAGACACUGGCCAGACUCGUACGGGAGGCAGCAGUGGGGAAUUUUGGACAAUGGUCGAUAGCCUGAUCCAGCAAUGCCGCGUGCAGGAAGAAGGCCUUCGGGUUGUAAACUGCUUUUGUACGGAGCGAAAAGGUCUCCUCUAAUACAGGGGGUUCAUGGCGGUACCGUAAGAAUAAGCACCGGCUAACUACGUGCCAGCAGCCGCGGUAA